rfam:Schistosoma mansoni, Puerto Rico, WGS project CABG01000000 data, contig: 0226
AUCCAGCUGACGAGUCCCAAACAGGAUGAAAUGCACAUUAAACUGGAU